rnacentral:rRNA from 1 species
AAAGUUAAACGGCCGCGGUAUCCUGACCGUGCAAAGGUAGCAUAAUCACUUGUUCCUUAAUUAGGGACUAGCAUGAAUGGCUAAACGAGGGUUCAACUGUCUCUUAUUCUCAAUCAGUGAAAUUGACCUUCCAGUGAAGAGGCUGGAAUAAAAAAAUAAGACGAGAAGACCCUAUGGAGCUUGAAUUAACUAGCUUAAUUUAUAUAAUCUAACCUAACGGACUAACAAAAAAAAUAUAAGCUAGCAAUUUCGGUUGGGGUGACCUCGGAGAAUAAAAAAUCCUCCGAAUGAUUUUAGCAUACAUUAACAAAUCAAAGCAAUACCUAAAAUCUUAUUGACCCAAAUUUCUUUUGAUCAACGGACCAAGUUACCCUAGGGAUAACAGCGCAAUCCUAUUUAAGAGUUCAUAUCGACAAUUAGGGUUUACGACCUCGAUGUUGGAUCAGGACAUCCCAA